UGAAAGGAUUUAGUUGCAUUAAUAACCUGAUAACAUUCAAAUUUUUAUUCCAGUCUUGGUUGGAAAUAGAAUCUCUGUAUUGAUUCAGGUAAAAACUGAACUUCACAGCAUGUUGAAGCAAAACAACCAGAUGAAAACUGUGAUGGCGUUGGAUUGUCAGACCGUAAUGUUGCAGCUCAAAGCAGCUUUUCUAGCUCAGUUCAUUCUGACAUUCAGCUAUGAAUCAACACAGCAGAUGGUGAUCCAUGCUGUGGAAGUCUCACAUCUCCUGAUUUAAUGGAGCUGCUUUGCACUUUUUACACUCUUUAUUCACCAACACUUUAUUUAAUAAAAGUCCCAUCUAGUUUUUAUGAGGAAUGUGAUGUUUUAAUUUCUCUGUGAAUAACUGCAGUCUAAUGCAACAGCUGGAGUUGUAACAUCUGUCCUGAUAUUGAUCAUGAAGUAUUGAUCAGAAUACUUAUGGUUAGUAGUCAUCCCUGAAGUUUUACAUUAAAAUCUUUACUUGUGUUGUGAACUUUGGUAAGAAGCAGAAACGUUAGCGUUGCCAUGGAUACAUGAGUGUUAAAUUCUGUCCAUGUUUCCAUUUUGGGAAAUGCAGUCCAGUUCCAGAAUGUGGAAGAAUUUAGUCUCACAAUCACAGACAACAAAUAUUAACUGAAAGUCGGGUUAUUGUUGUUUAUCAGCACAAUACAAAAAGAUUAAUGUUAGAAAUAUUCCAGUUAAGACUCUAGAAUACCAUGAUUUAUGUAUAUUUACCUCAAUAAUAUGAAUGUUCAGGUUAAGAUUGUACAGUGAUAUUUAUUAUGUAAGUUUAGCUGAUUAAAGUUUAUGACUGCACUAAAAUAUUAUUUAAAUUGACAUCAUUAUUAUAAUAUUUAGGGUCAGACCCUACAGUACUGCGAUUAAGAAAUCAAAUAUUCUAUAAAAUGUAAAUACACUGAACUCAUUUGAUAUAUUUAAGUGAGACUCUAGAAUAUUAUUUGACACAAAUCUAUCGAAAUCAAAAUUUUAAUAAUUUUCAUGCCAAACAUUUACUGGACUGAUUUAAACAUUAAAAUCACUCCUUUCUAAUCCUCUGCUGUACGUUCAAACCUGAGGCCUUAAAUAGAAACACACAGAGAACAAGUUCCUUCUUGAAGGAACUUCUGCAGAGUCCUGGUUCCAGAAUAUGAUGAUAGAAUUAUAGACAAACUUUAACAAAAGCCGCCUGAGAGUUUACAGGUUUUUAUGUUGGAUUUCUUCAGUAAUUUAAUGAGCGUUAUCAGCAAUCAUCAAGUGUUCAUUUAAUGAACUUCAUUUUCUAAAACAUCCAGAAUUGGAGCUCAUAUCUUUGGCAGCUGUAAAGUUUCUGCUCCUUCAAAGUUCACAACACAAUGAAUUAAUUCCUAAAACACUCUCAAUGCUGGAGAGCAUUUGUGAUGCUGAAGCAUUGAGCUCUGAACAUUUGAUCUGGAACAGGAAUUCAAUAACAGCAGCAUGAGCUUCAUUUCAGUCUGUAGCUGCUGAAUUCAUGGAUGAAUCAUCUGGCACUAGAGAGGAAGACCAUCAAACAUCCACGUCAGCUGAUGGAGGUCCAAGAGUCUCACCGAACAACCAACCUACAAAGUGAAGACCUCAAAUCUGAUUGGACGGCCUCCUAUUCAGCCACAUGUGUGAACAAAUGCCUCUGA
ensembl:lncRNA